rnacentral:siRNA from 1 species
CUCGUUUGUUUCUGUUUUGUUCGC